rnacentral:rRNA from 1 species
AGCUCUAUGCAAUUAUUUAAAGCACAUCCUGCUCAGUGAAAUCAACAGCCGCAGAAUUUUACUGUGCUAAGGUAGCAUAAUCACUUGUCUUUUAAUUAAAGAAUAGAAUGAACGGAAAAACGAAUUUUAAUCUGUUCCAUUUUUAUCUAAUUAAACUAUUUCAAAAGUAAAAACACUUUUUUCAAAAAAAAAGACGAUAAGACCCUAGAACUUAACUAAAGUUAAGGCUGGGGCGGCUUUUUAAAAAAAUCUUAUAUAUCUUUUCUAUUUCACCUUUAUUUAUUAACAAAGUUACCUUAGGGAUAACAGCAUAAUUAAAUUUUACAGCUCUUAUUUAAAAUUUAGAUUAUGACCUCGAUGUUGAAUUAAGCUUCUUUUAGACGAAAAAAAUUAAUAACGAAAGUCUGUUCGACUUUUAAUUACUUACAUGAUUUGAGUUCAGACCGGUGAAAACCAGGUCGGUUUCUAUCUUUUUUAAUAAUAAGCUAGUACGAAAGGACCCCUAAAUAUUUAA